rnacentral:lncRNA from 1 species
CAGCAUUUGAACUACCAGAAACAUUUGUUUACACAAGUGUUGUGAACCACAUUCUCUUUUACUCCAGACCCAGUCUAUUCCCAAACAGCAAGCACAUGGUAGGCAGAAGAGAACCCCACAUUUUAAAGACAAGGCAUUUUGAAAGUCAAAUUGUUUAUUGAUCAAAUCAUGCAAGAGUAGCAGGAACACCAGGCCAAAUCAAUAUCAUAACCCUAGAACAUAAGUGUGUCAGCAAUAGUAGCGUCCACCACUGUAAACAAUUUGCAUGGCGAUGCACAAGUGAAGGAGAUCCUCAUUUCAAACAAGUGCAUUGGUUUGCACAUUUCCUCACCUCAGUUACCUUUGCCCUUUUCUUCAAAUGGAAGCACAGUAACAGGGGAAAGACGAUUAAGGAGUUGGGCAAACCAAAUUAUGAUCUCCCUAUCUAGCUUGUUGAGGGGUCGGGCCGUCUGUUCAAGGCCGGCAGCUUCUGCCGAGGCGCGGGGACCGGCCGCUUCUGCCGAGGCGCGGGGGCCGGCCGCUUCUGCCGAGGCGCGGGGGCCGGACGCUUCUGCCGAGGCGCGGGGGCCGGACGCUUCUGCCGAGGCGCGGGGGCCGGACGCUUCUGCCGAGGCGCGGGGGCCGGACGCUUCUGCCGAGGCGCGGGGGCCGGACGCUUCUGCCGAGGGGGCCGGACGCUUCUGCCGAGGCGCGGGGGCCGGACGCUUCUGCCGAGGCGCGGGGGCCGGACGCUUCUGCUGAGGCAUUUGGACACAGCUUCACACUUGCCAGGGUAUUGUGGCCUGUAGCUUCAGCAUUUUGACCAGACACCACACUUGCUUGGGCAUGGGAUCCAGUUGGUUCAGGUCCAGUGUAGGCAGGAUGCCCAUAAGCGUCACCUAGGAAACAAAGAAAACACUGUGGUAAAACGCCAACCUUAAGCUAUUGGAACUAGACUGUGAUUUGAACUGAAGUAGUGUAAACCAAAACGCACCUUGAAGGGUAAAACAAGUUAUCCCUCCAAUUAGCAGGCAGCAAAUCCAAGAAACACUACAAAACAUUCAGACAGUUAAACACAAAUAACCAGUGAAAACUAAGGUAAACCACCCAGAUGACUAUAUUGAAAAACUAACCUCAAAGAGAGUCCAAAAGUCACAGCCAUUUUAGUGAUCAAAACCACAACGGUAUUCAGAACAAAUGCUAGAGAGACACCCUGACAGAAUAUCCCUGUUGCUAUGUCAAACAGCUGUUUUGGUUGCACCUCAUAAAGGAAUCCCAGACCCUUC